AGAGUUUGAUCAUGGCUCAGGAUGAACGCUGGCGGCGUGCCUAAUACAUGCAAGUCGAGCGAACGGACGAGAAGCUUGCUUCUCUGAUGUUAGCGGCGGACGGGUGAGUAACACGUGGAUAACCUACCUAUAAGACUGGGAUAACUUCGGGAAACCGGAGCUAAUACCGGAUAAUAUUUUGAACCGCAUGGUUCAAAAGUGAAAGACGGUCUUGCUGUCACUUAUAGAUGGAUCCGCGCUGCAUUAGCUAGUUGGUAAGGUAACGGCUUACCAAGGCAACGAUGCAUAGCCGACCUGAGAGGGUGAUCGGCCACACUGGAACUGAGACACGGUCCAGACUCCUACGGGAGGCAGCAGUAGGGAAUCUUCCGCAAUGGGCGAAAGCCUGACGGAGCAACGCCGCGUGAGUGAUGAAGGUCUUCGGAUCGUAAAACUCUGUUAUUAGGGAAGAACAUAUGUGUAAGUAACUGUGCACAUCUUGACGGUACCUAAUCAGAAAGCCACGGCUAACUACGUGCCAGCAGCCGCGGUAAUACGUAGGUGGCAAGCGUUAUCCGGAAUUAUUGGGCGUAAAGCGCGCGUAGGCGGUUUUUUAAGUCUGAUGUGAAAGCCCACGGCUCAACCGUGGAGGGUCAUUGGAAACUGGAAAACUUGAGUGCAGAAGAGGAAAGUGGAAUUCCAUGUGUAGCGGUGAAAUGCGCAGAGAUAUGGAGGAACACCAGUGGCGAAGGCGACUUUCUGGUCUGUAACUGGCGCUGAUGUGCGAAAGCGUGGGGAUCAAACAGGAUUAGAUACCCUGGUAGU
rnacentral:rRNA from 1 species